rnacentral:rRNA from 1 species
GACGAACGCUGGCGGCGUGCCUAAUACAUGCAAGUAGAGCGCUGAAGGAGGAGCUUGCUCUUCUGGAUGAGUUGCGAACGGGUGAGUAGCGCGUAGGUAACCUGCCUGGUAGCGGGGGAUAACUAUUGGAAACGAUAGCUAAUACCGCAUAAAAUUGAUUAUUGCAUGAUAGUCAAUUAAAAGGUGCAAUUGCAUCACUACCAGAUGGACCUGCGUUGUAUUAGCUAGUUGGUGAGGUAACGGCUCACCAAGGCAACGAUACAUAGCCGACCUGAGAGGGGGAUCGGCCACACUGGGACUGAGACACGGCCCAGACUCCUACGGGAGGCAGCAGUAGGGAAUCUUCGGCAAUGGACGGAAGUCUGACCGAGCAACGCCGCGUGAGUGAAGAAGGUUUUCGGAUCGUAAAGCUCUGUUGUAAGAGAAGAACGAGUGUGAGAGUGGAAAGUUCACACUGUGACGGUAUCUUACCAGAAAGGGACGGCUAACUACGUG